rnacentral:rRNA from 1 species
AGUGAACGCUGGCGGUAGGCCUAACACAUGCUAGUCGAACGGCAGCACAGUAAGAGCUUGCUCUUACGGGUGGCGAGUGGCGGACGGGUGAGGAAUACAUCGGAAUCUACUUUUUCGUGGGGGAUAACGCAGGGAAACUUACGCUAAUACCGCAUACGACCUACGGGUGAAAGCAGGGGAUCUUCGGACCUUGCGCGAUUGAAUGAGCCGAUGUCGGAUUAGCUAGUUGGCGGGGUAAAGGCACACCAAGGCGACGAUCCGUAGCUGGUCUGAGAGGAAGAUCCGCCACACUGGAACUGAGACACGGUCCAGACUCCUACGGGAGGCAGCAGUGGGGAAUAUUGGACAAUGGGCGCAAGCCUGAUCCAGCCAUACCGCGUGGGUGAAGAAGGCCUUCGGGUUGUAAAGCCCUUUUGUUGGGAAAGAAAAGCAGCAGGUUAAUACCCCGCUGUUCUGACGGUACCCAAAGAAUAAGCACCGGCUAACUUCGUG